rnacentral:rRNA from 1 species
UACGAAGGGGGCUAGCGUUGCUCGGAAUCACUGGGCGUAAAGCGCACGUAGGCGGAUUGUUAAGUCAGGGGUGAAAUCCUGGAGCUCAACUCCAGAACUGCCUUUGAUACUGGCGAUCUCGAGUCCGGGAGAGGUGAGUGGAACUCCGAGUGUAGAGGUGAAAUUCGUAGAUAUUCGGAAGAACACCAGUGGCGAAGGCGGCUCACUGGCCCGGUACUGACGUUGAGGUGCGAAAGGCGUGGGGAGCAAACAGG